AUCUUCUCAUCAACAAUUGCUGCGACUGGUAAGCAGUUGAAGCAGUCAGUAAACGUUUUCCAGAGUUUGAUGUUGUAUCGACGUUUACCUGCAAUGUAAUAUCCACACUCUGAAUAACUGAGUUUGACCAAGAUUCGAACCAGGUGCUCAAAUCAUCGAUGUGCACUCGGAAUGCAGAAAAUUUGGUGAUUGUUGAUAAAAUUGAAGUCAUGAGUAUGGACAAAAUUAAAUCAGCAAUGAAAACUGAGUGAAGUCUAGGCUAAUCCUUCAACACUAUACCAAAGUUAAUCCUGAAAGGCUAUUCAAUUCAAUGGUGAUGACUCAGCUACUCUACAGGCAAAUCCCAGAUAUUACCUACAUACACACAGACUAAAUUUCUGUGAUAACAUAAAAAUAAAAUAAUUUAAUAAGUAACUUACACUCAUCAUAAAAGCCAUAUAUCCUGUUGAUCGAUGCACAUUCAUGAUUUCCUCUAAGCAAAAAGAAAUUCUCAGGAUACUUGAUCUUGUAGGCAAGCAGGAGGCAGAUCGUUUCCAAUGAUUGCUUCCCCCUGUCUACAUAA